rnacentral:rRNA from 1 species
UGAUGACGAGACGCUAAGGCGUUGAAGCAGUGUAUGUCAGACUUCCAAGAAAAGCUCUCAAUGUCACAAAUGAAAAAUGCCUGUACCAUAACCGACACAGGUGGGUAGGUAGAGUAUACUAAGGGGCGCGAGAUAACUCUCUCUAAGGAACUCGGCAAAAUGACUCCGUAACUUCGGGAGAAGGAGUGCCUUAUUUAUAAGGUUGCAAUAACAAGAUCCAAGCAACUGUUUAUCAAAAACACAGGUCUCCGCUAAGUCGUAAGACGAUGUAUGGGGGCUGACGCCUGCCCAGUGCCAGAAGGUUAAAGAAGUUGGUUAGUGUAUGCGAAGCUGAUGACUGAAGCCCUGGUGAACGGCGGCCGUAACAAUAACGGUCCUAAGGUAGCGAAAUUCCUUGUCGGGUAAGUUCCGACCCGCACGAAAGGCGUAAUGAUUUGGAUACUGUCUCGGAGAGAGGCUCGGUGAAAUAGACUUGUCUGUGAAGAUGCGGACUACCUGCACCAGGACAGAAAGACCCUAUGAAGCUUUACUGUAACUUGAAAUUGGAAUUGGACUUUGCUUGCGCAGUAUAGGUGGGAAGCGUUGAAAAUAUUCUUGCGGGAGUAUUGGAGCUAUCAGUGAGAUACCACUCUUGUAAUGUUAGAUUUCUAACUUUGAACCAUAAUCUGGUCAAAGAACAGUUUCAGGUGGGCAGUUUGACUGGGGCGGUCGCCUCCCAAAUGGUAACGGAGGCGUACAAAGGUUUCCUCUGAACGGAUAGAAAUCGUAUCUAGAGUGUAAAGGCAUAAGGAAGCUUGACUGUGAGGCCUACAAGUCGAGCAGGGACGAAAGUCGGUCUUAGUGAUCUGACGGUACUGAGUGGAAAGGCCGUCACUCAACGGAUAAAAGUUACUCUAGGAUAACAGGCUGAUCUCCCCCAAGAGUUCACAUCGGCGGGGAGGUUUGGCACCUCGAUGUCGGCUCAUCGCAUCCUGGGGCGGUAGUACGUCCCAAGGGUUGGGCUGUUCGCCCAUGAAAGCGGUACGCGAGCUGGGUUCAGAACGUCGUGAGACAGUUCGGUCCAUAUCCGGUGUAGGCGCUAGAGUAUUGAGAGGAGCCUUCUUUAGUACGAGAGGACCGAGAAGGACACACCGCUGGUGUACCAGUUAUCGUGCCAACGGUAAACGCUGGGUAGCUAUGUGUGGAGUGGAUAACCGCUGAAAGCAUCUAAGUGGGAAGCCCACCUCGAGAUGAGUAUUCUCAU